CAUACACACACACCUUUAAUUGAAUAUGCAUUAUUAUUGAUUGAUUUACUGAAAAUUUUAUUUUUGAUUGCAGAGUAGCAUGAAUCUUGGAAGCCGGCGACAGCUCCGACGAUGGGUGACGAAGGCGGCAAGGCUGAUGGAGGCGGGGCAAUGGCGGCGACUGGCUACGAGAAAGUGAGCCGCCACUUCGAAGAUCCGAUCUUUACCGGGAACGGCAGCAGCAAGGUAGCGGAGGCGUGAAACGAGCGGCAGGGAAGCCGGGUGGACGGCGUGAUGGAGGGAGGAAGCAGAGCAGAGCAGCGCCGCGAGGAAGGGAGGCGUGACGGAGGAAGGAGAGAGCUCCGAAAAAGAGUGAGAGAGAAAGGAGGAGGACGCCGGAGGAAGGGUUGCAGCGGCGAUGCCGACUGAGGGCAUCUCCAACGAUGCGUAUCACUCCAAAGAUGAAACCGGAAUGUAGCUACUGCAUUCCACCUUUUGAAGUUCCUGGAAAUUGCACUUGGCUCCCUCGUGCUUUUGUAUUUUCGAAUGGAAGCAAGGGCUUACCUAGUUUAUGGAGGAUUGUUGAUGGUUGAAGAGCUUGGGCAGAAAAUUUUGAGAUGCAGAAAGAACCAGAGAAGGGAACGAAAAAAUAGAGAAAGAAGAAUAGAGAAGAAGAAGAAGAAGAUUGCGGCGCAGGGGAAGAUAAAAUUAGGUUUAAAAUUCAAUUAGUAGUAUAAUAUAUUGAUGGGCUGGGCUAAUCAUAUACUAUGUAUUUGUUUUUUUACAAGUCAUGAUCCAAUAAGAAUUUACGCUAUGAAAUUGCAAAUUUUGAA